AUGUGCAUAAAAUACACUCUUUCCUGGCCAAUCUUUAAAAUGCCUUUAAUAAACUCAAAAUCCUUUCGCAAAAGUAAAAGACACAAACAAAUUCAAACUUCUUUUUCUCGUGUUUUGGAUUUUCAAUUUCAAACUGGAUGUGUUAUUGUCCCUCUAUGCAAUACGACGCGUAAUUCCCCAAGUAUCGGGUUGCACUAUGUCUACUUACUACGAGUCGCGACUAUAGCAUUAUCCGCCUCCGGGCACUUUUCGAGCACAUUAAUUCCUUUCUACUCCAGAUGUGUGAGUCUCCAAAGGUCGAGCUACAGUUAG